CACCAAUGAUAAACACAUUUAUUGCAGUGUAAUUUACAAGAUUUCAACCCAGAAAGCUACUUAAAUAUUCAAAAAAAGAUGGGGAGCAUUAAAUACAUUAUGAUACACGUGAUAAACAGCAAAACAGCCCUUAAAGUCUGUACUUUUAAUAAUAUUUCAUACCCUGGGGAAACACUUGCCACAGGAUAAUGAUGAAUAAAAGAAGAAACCCAAACUAAAAAUUGAGUGUCAUUCCAGCUACAGGAAAAGAUAAACAUGUUCCCAGAGAAAAAUCCUGAGAAAAAGCAACACCAAAAUCUUGAGAAUGUGUAUUUAAAAAACAAACAAUUGCAUAGCUGAUGAUUUUUAUCUUAUUCUGUGUUUUGUUCUGAAUGUUCACAAUUGUAGCAAACCUGCAAACUUUGUGAUGAACAACAACAGCAAAACCACAGAAAAUGCAAAAACAAACGUGUCUUUUUUCUUCAGAUAUUCUGUGAAUCUCUUGAGCAUCACAACUUUAGGGACCACCUGCUGUGCCCCCCUAUAGCAGUUCCUAGCACCGCCUCUCCUAAGACGGGUUAGGGUCACACUGAGAAACCACACUCAGAAACCUGGUGAAUAGUAGGUUAAUAAAAUAAAGGUAUAACUAGGCUUUCUUGGCGUCAAAACUACAGGUGCCUUUCAUUCUUCUUCAGUCCCAAAUGCAAAUCAUUUCUCAUGUUUUUUUAAAAUGGAUUUUAGGCUGGGCGAGGUGGCUCACUCCCAUAAUCCCAGCACUUGGGGAGGCUGAGCUGGGCAGAUGGCUGAGCCUAGAAGACCAGCCUGGGCAACAGGACGAAACACCGUAUCUACAGAAAAAUCAAAUCGAUCAAUAAAUAAAAUGGAUGUUGUUUUUCAGAGCAAGUUUAGAUUUGCAGAAAAAUUGCAGAGCAGGUACAGAGAGUUCUGAUGUCCAACCUUCCUCCUGUGCGUUGUUCUGGUUUCACAUGUUCGUGUUGUAAUUGAGUGCGUGCACACUCAGUAAAUGCGAAAUGGUUUCAUCACAACCGCACCGAUGCAGUUCCUAAAAGAAACACACGACAGCCGAUUUUGCUUCUCAAAAUCGCUGCAUUCAGGGUUUCCGCCGUCACCCUGCUGGCAGUGAACUAGAGGACCCGUCCCACCGGAGCUGGUCCAUGGAGAGGUGCCACAGCCUGUGAGCCACGGCAGAGCGGAGAAGCCUGGGACCCCUGUCACCUCUCAGAGCAGCGCCUCACAUGGCAGAAGGAGCUGCUUUCCGAAGAGCUAAAGGUUGCCAUAAAUAUUUAUAAGAGACCUGGCAUUGCUGCGCUGGAGGGCAGUGUGUUAUGAUAAAAGUCACAAAUGGAGCUGAAAAAACAGUGGCUUCUACAUGACAGCUACGUGUGUGUGUGUGUGUGUGUGUAUGUAUGUGUGUGUGUAUGUAUGUGUGUGUGCACGUGUGUGGGGAUACGUAUUUGCACACAUGUGUGUUCAAUCUGUGGAUACGGUACCUACGUGCACUUCUGUACCUGGUUUCUUCCUUUUUCUACACAUACAUUAUUUAUCUGUUUUUUAAAAUUCAACUUUUAUUGCUCCUUGUCCUGCCGGUGGCCCUGGCAACAUGCCACGCCGGACUCCAGCUUAGUUUCCUUGUUGCCUUGCAGCCAAACUUACGCAGUGUGCAGACGGAGCUGCUCAGAGGGGAGGGGCAGCGAGCAGGUGCCACGUCCACACCGGGUGAGGCGUGAGGUGAGGGCUCCCCCGCGCCGCCCUGGCGUCCAGGUGGUGAGGGCUGCACGGAAACGUGGACUUCGGCAGAACAUGUGUGCGCCACGGAGCGGCUGCGUGCAGCCCGCAGUUUAGAAACCCAUUUUUGGAGCAAGCAAGCAGACUGAAUGGAAGUGAUGCUCCUUGAAGAUGGGAGAGAGAGCUGGAGCUCAUCUGUCCUGGCAUCAGAGAACCGUGACUCCGGAGGGUGGGAGAGGCAGGCCCGAGUCAUCUCUGCCCUGGGGCCCCUUCCCAAUGUGUCCUGUCUUCCUCCCUAGUGAGGGGAGUCUAAUUUAGAGUGGGAAGUGGAGAGGAAUGCUGGCCAGGUGGGAAGUUGGGGGGCUGCGCCAUGACCCGCCACACUUGGCUGGGUGGCUCCAGGGAACAUCCUCUGCCUCCCCUCCAGUGCAGGAGUGAGUGAAGCAGCUGCCUCUGUGGCUGCCGACGCUGGCUACGCACAGCAAGGGAGGAGGCUGAGACAUGAGGAAACCUGGCCCUCUAGGCGGGCACUUUGGAAGCUCGCUGGCAUGCUGCUGGAGACCCACCGGCAACCACGAGGACAAGUGGGGACCUGGUGACAUUCCAGCUCUGCCAGCCCUCCCAGAAUAAAGGGGAAUGGCAGCAAAUCAAGAGGCGGAGGCGUUUCAAUGCCAUUUUGCUGUGCUGACUUUUCCUUUUGGACAUUGCGAACAAGAGAAGAAAGCAGCUCCCUUAACUGUAGUACAAAAAAAAUUCAGAAAAGAGGGCAUUUUAAGGGUAACAUUUUUCUUGCUGCAAUGACUCAUGGAAGACAGAAAGUGAGAGGCUUGCUGAAAGGCGAAAGACAGAGCCAAAAAAGCAAAACUCAAGUCCUAUUUACAAAACGACGGGCCACAACGGACUCUCCAGUAACAUGAUAUUGUACAUUGUCCUUUAAAUCCUGAACAGAUCUUCCUUCCAAAUCCUUUACUGCCUCAGAGUUGUUAAUCACAAAAUGAAGGUUUCUGCCACCAAAAAAAAUUGACCACAGAUGUUUCCAGAAAAGAAAGAGGAAAGAACAGCCAUUCACCACGCCCGUGUGGGGUGUUGAGGCUGCAAUGCUGAGGUCCCUGAAAACACAGGCAUGAGCAGUGCUUGUCCUUUCCAGGGACCCGAGGACAGCGAGUCACAGAGCGGCUGCAGGUGCAAGGCCAUUCCUCAUAGAAACCGUGUGUCCAGGUGUCAGGCAUAUUUGUCAUGGUUCCUCAAAGGGGAAACAUUCAUUUAUAAUUUUGAAAAACAAAAACAAAAGAACGACAUGAAAGGAGAGGCCUUAACUAAAAAGAACAAUUCACAAUUGCCAAGCAGUUGAGGAGGUCUUAUAAGAAACUCUGGGAGUUAAACAAGAAGUCAAAAGGGCUGGAUUUCACGGGCAGCGUCCUCCUUACCUUCUUGUGCUAGAAGGCUGGAUCUGGGGCUUUUCAAAGGCAAUGAAGACAGGCCAGGCACGGUGGCUCAGGGCUGUAAUCCCAGCACUUUGGGAGGCUGAGGUGGGUGGAUCACCUGAGGUCAGGAGUUCAAGACCGUCCUGGCCAACAUGGAGAAACGCUGUCUCUAUUAAAAAUACAAAAAUUAGCUGGGUGUGGUGGCAGGUGCCUGUAGUUCCAGCUACCCGUGAGCCUGAGGCAGGGGAAUCACUUGAUUCCCGCCAGGAGGCGGAGGUUGCAGUGAGCCGAGAUCCCACCGCUGUGCUCCAGCCUGGCCGACAGAGUGAGACUCUGUCUCACAAAACAAACAAACACAACAAAGGCAAAUAAAAUCGUUGUUUGAGCAGCCACAUGACGUUCAGUCUUAUGUAUUCUCCAGAUAUAUUAACAGAACUGUAAGUUUUCAAGCAG
rnacentral:lncRNA from 1 species